rnacentral:rRNA from 1 species
GAGCCAGACUCCUACGGGAGGCAGCAGUGGGGAAUAUUGCACAAUGGGGGGAACCCUGAUGCAGCGACGCCGCGUGGGUGAAGGAGUACUUCGGUACGUAAAGCCCUAUCAGCAGGAAAGAAAAUGACGGUACCUGACUAAGAAGCCCCGGCUAACUACGUGCCAGCAGCCGCGGUAAUACGUAGGGGGCAAGCGUUAUCCGGAUUUACUGGGUGUAAAGGGAGCGUAGACGGCAGUGCAAGUCCGGAGUGAAAGCCCGGGGCUCAACCCUGGGACUGCUCUGGAAACUGUAAAGCUGGAGUGUGUGAGAGGAUAGUGGAAUUCCAGGUGUAGGAGUGAAAUCCGUAGAUAUCUGGAGGAACAUCAGUGGCGAAGGCGACUAUCUGGCACAUAACUGACGCUGAGGAGCGAAAGCGUGGGUAGCAAACAGGAUUAGAUACCCUGGUACG